AACUCUGAUGCAGCGAUGCCGCGUGAGUGAAGAAGGCCCUUGGGUUGUAAAGCUCUUUCGUCGGGGAAGAAAAUGACUGUACCCGAAUAAGAAGGUCCGGCUAACUUCGUGCCAGCAGCCGCGGUAAUACGAAGGGACCUAGCGUAGUUCGGAAUUACUGGGCUUAAAGAGUUCGUAGGUGGUUGAAAAAGUUGGUGGUGAAAUCCCAGAGCUUAACUCUGGAACUGCCAUCAAAACUUUUCAGCUAGAGUUUGAUAGAGGAAAGCAGAAUUUCUAGUGUAGAGGUGAAAUUCGUAGAUAUUAGAAAGAAUACCAAUUGCGAAGGCAGCUUUCUGGAUCAUUACUGACACUGAGGAACGAAAGCAUGGGUAGCGAAGAGGAUUAGAUACCCUCGUAGUCCAUGCCGUAAACGAUGUGUGUUAGACGUUGGAAAUUUAUUUUCAGUGUCGCAGCGAAAGCGAUAAACACACCGCCUGGGGAGUACGACCGCAAGGUUAAAACUCAAAUGAAUUGACGGGGACCCGCACAAGUAGUGGAGCAUGUGGUUUAAUUCGAAGAUACGCGCAGAACCUUACCAACACUUGACAUGUUCGUCGCGACUCUAAGAGAUUAGAGUUUUCGGUUCGGCCGGACGAAACACAGGUGCUGCAUGGCUGUCGUCAGCUCGUGUCGUGAGAUGUUGGGUUAAGUCCCGCAACGAGCGCAACCCUCACUUUUAGUUGCCAUCAUUAAGUUGGGCACUCUGAAAGAACUGCCAGUGAUAAGCUGGAGGAAGGUGGGGAUGACGUCAAGUCCUCAUGGCCCUUACGUGUUGGGCUACACACGUGCUACAAUGGUAUCUACAACAGGAAGCAAGACUGCGA
rnacentral:rRNA from 1 species